rnacentral:rRNA from 1 species
UGAGCGGAGAUAUAUGGAGCUUGCUUUAUAUAACUUAGCAGCGAACGGGUGAGUAACACGUAGAUAAUCUAUCCUAUACUGGGGGAUAGCCCGAUGAAAGUUGGAUUAAUACCGCAUAUAGCUAUAUAGUUGCAUGAUUAUGUAGUGAAAGAUUUAUUGGUAUAGGAGGAGUCUGCGGCACAUUAGCUAGUAGGUGAGGUAAAGGCUUACCUAGGCGACGAUGUGUAGCCGGUCUGAGAGGAUGAACGGCCACAAUGGAACUGAGACACGGUCCAUACUCCUACGGGAGGCAGCAGUGGGGAAUAUUGCACAAUGGGGGAAACCCUGAUGCAGCAACGCCGCGUGAGUGAAGAAGGUUUUCGGAUUGUAAAGCUCUGUUAGCAGGGAAGAGGAAGGACGGUACCUGCAGAGGAAGCCACGGCUAACUACGUGCCAGCAGCCGCGGUAAUACGUAGGUGGCAAGCGUUGUUCGGAAUAACUGGGCGUAAAGGAUGCGUAGGCGGUUAAACAAGUUAUAUGUUAAAUAUAUAGGCUUAACCUGUAGAAAGCAUAUAAAACUGUUUAACUAGAGUGCAGGAGAGGUAAGUGGAAUUCCUAGUGUAGCGGUGAAAUGCGUAGAGAUUAGGAAGAACACCAGUGGCGAAGGCGACCUACUGGACUGUAACUGACGCUGAGGCAUGAGAGCAUGGGGAGCAAACAGGAUUAGAUACCCUGGUAGUCCAUGCUGUAAACGAUGGGUACUAGGUGUGGGUUGUGAAUAACAAUUCGUGCCGUCGCAAACGCAAUAAGUACCCCGCCUGAGGAGUACGAUCGCA